rnacentral:lncRNA from 1 species
AGGUGUGAGCCUCCAAGCCAGCCAGGAAUAAUUUGAGGCCUGGGUUGAAGAUGGGUUCUUUCAAGAUGACUUACAUUUGAUUCUACAAGGUGCUGGAGGAAACUACAAGCUGGGGAUACUUUAACUUCAUGGCUUAGGAUUUUUGGCCACUCAGAUACAAUCAAACUGGGUUGUAAACUCACGUGAGGGAUGGUUUAUUGUUAUGAAUUCUCAGAGGGAAAUUCCCCUGGCCCUACCCAGCACUAUGUUUUGAGAUAGUCAGUUUUCCUUGUAGUUUUCUAGUGGGGAGUAUUUUUUGUUCAUCUUUACACUGAGAGUUUAGCCUUUUGAGGUUUCAGGCUCGUAUGGGGAGGGUCUCCUAUUAGAUACUGCACAGGAGCCUUGGACUUCCUUGUAUUCCUUAUGGUUGGGAAAGCUGUGCGAACAGUUAUUAGAAUUUAUUCGGUUCACCAAAUAUCCUUAAGGGGAAAGCCACCUUCAAUAUGCUACCCCUUCUCUGAGUUUCCUCUUUCACUUAAUCAUUGAUUUAUGAGUAUUCUUUGCUAAUUGAGUAGUUAUUGAUGUCAUUAAAAAUAUUUUAAAAAAUCUUACUAUACAUUUUAGGGUUUUUCCCGGUGGGAGGGUCUUUCCAGUAAUCUAGUCUGCCUAACUGCCAGAAAUAGAAGUCUCUCCUAUUUGGGGUAUUUUCUAGGGACUGCAUCCGAUGCCAGUCUACAUGUAAUAGUCC